GACGAACGCUGGCGGCGUGCUUAACACAUGCAAGUCGAGCGGUAAGGCCCUUUCGGGGGGUACACGAGCGGCGAACGGGUGAGUAACACGUGGGUGACCUGCCCUCAGCUCUGGGAUAAGCCUGGGAAACCGGGUCUAAUACUGGAUAUGACUCCAUGACGCAUGUUGUGGGGUGAAAGCCUUGUGCGGCUGAGGAUGGGCCCGCGGCCUAUCAGCUUGUUGGUGGGGUGAGUGGCCUACCAAGGCGACGACGGGUAGCCGGCCUGAGAGGGCGACCGGCCACACUGGGACUGAGACACGGCCCAGACUCCUACGGGAGGCAGCAGUGGGGAAUCUUGCGCAAUGGGCGAAAGCCUGACGCAGCGACGCCGCGUGAGGGAUGACGGCCU
rnacentral:rRNA from 1 species